GGAGAAGUGGCAGAGAGGUCGAAUGCACACCCCUGCUAAGGGUGCAGGUCCAAAAUGCGGGCCUCGAGGGUUCGAAUCCCUCCUUCUCCG
rnacentral:tRNA from 2 species